GCCAGCCCGCUCAGAAACUUAAAUAGAAUUGACGGGGCCCGGCACAAGCGGUGGAGUAUGUGGUUUAAUUCGAUGCAACGCGAAGAACCUUACCUGGUCUUGACAUCCCGGAGACCCUUAGGAAACUAGGGGUGCUUCCAUCUGGAAGAAUCUGGAGACAGGUGCUGCAUGGCUGUCGUCAGCUCGUGUCGUGAGAUGUUGGGUUAAGUCCCGCAACGAGCGCAACCCUUGCCUUUAGUUGCCAGCAGUUCGGCUGGGCACUCUAAAGGGACUGCCGGUGUUAAACCGGAGGAAGGUGGGGAUGACGUCAAGUCCUCAUGGCCUUUAUGACCAGGGCUACACACGUACUACAAUGGCCGAUACAAAGGGCAGCGACACUGCGAGGUGAAGCCAAUCCCGUAAAAUCGGUCUCAGUCCGGAUUGGAGUCUGCAACUCGACUCCAUGAAGUUGGAAUCGCUAGUAAUCGUGGAUCAGCAUGCCACGGUGAAUACGUUCCCGGGCCUU
rnacentral:rRNA from 1 species